UAUGACCAGCUCCAGAUCUAUGCUAAGGGGAAAAACUUGGGUGAAUUCUGUGGAAAGCAAAGGCCUCCAGACCUUGACACCAGCAGCAAUGCAGUGGAUCUGCUGUUCUUCACAGAUGAGUCAGGGGACAGCCGAGGCUGGAAGCUGCACUACACCACUGAAAUCAUCAAGUGCCCCCAGCCCAAGGCUCUGGAUGAGUUCACC